rnacentral:rRNA from 1 species
UACGAGUGCUCCAAGCGUUAUCCGGAAUCAUUGGGCGUAAAGGGUGUGUAGGUGGUUGUGUUAGUCUUCUGUUAAAUUCUUCGGCUUAACCGGGGACAUGCAGAGGAAACGGCACAACUAGAGGAUGCGAGAGGUACAUGGAACUCAUGGAGUAGGGGUGAAAUCCGUUGAUAUCAUGGGGAACACCGAAAGCGAAGGCAAUGUACUGGCGCACUCCUGACACUGAGACACGAAAGCGUAGGUAGCGAAUGGG